UACGUAGGGAGCAAGCGUUGUCCGGAAUCAUUGGGCGUAAAGCGCGCGUAGGCGGCCCUGUAAGUCCGUUGUGAAAGUCAAAGGCUCAACCUUUGAAAGCCGAUGGAUACUGCAGGGCUAGAGUCCGGAAGAGGCGAGUGGAAUUCCUGGUGUAGCGGUGGAAUGCGCAGAUAUCAGGAGGAACACCGAUGGCGAAGGCAGGUCUCUGGGCAUUAACUGACGCUGAGGAGCGAAAGCAUGGGGAGCGAACAGG
rnacentral:rRNA from 1 species